rnacentral:rRNA from 1 species
UAGUCCACGCCCUAAACGAUGUUUACUCGAUGUUUGGACUUCGGUUUGAGCAUCCAAGGGAAACCAUUAAGUAAACCACCUGGGGAGUACGUUCGCAAGAAUGAAACUCAAAGGAAUUGACGGGGGCCCGCACAAGCGGUGGAGCAUGUGGUUUAAUUCGAUGAUACGCGAGGAACCUUACCAGGGCUUAAAUGUAGUAUGACAGACUGAGAGAUCAGUUUUUCUUCGGACAUAUUACAAGGUGCUGCAUGGUUGUCGUCAGCUCGUGCCGUGAGGUGUCAGGUUAAGUCCUAUAACGAGCGCAACCCCUGUUGUUAGUUGCCAUCGAGUAAUGUCGGGAACUCUAACAAGACUGCCGGUGCAAACCGCGAGGAAGGUGGGGAUGACGUCAAAUCAUCACGGCCCUUACGUCCUGGGGCCACACACGUGCUACAAUGGUAGGUACAGAGAGCAGCCACGUCGCGAGGCGGAGCGAAUCUAUAAAACCUAUCUCAGUUCGGAUCGGAGUCUGC